GGCGGCAGGGAUGCGAUGGCGGAGUCGCUGCCGCUGGAGAUGGUCACAUAUAUUCUGAGCUUCCUGCCUCUGUCAGAUCAGAAAGAGGCCUCCCUCGUGAGCCGGGCUUGGUACUGUGCAGCCCAGAUUGCCCUUCGGGAGGGCAUUGGCAUGAAGGGGGCCAAGGGAACAUGAAGGACACGGAAGGAGACUGGCAGCAUCAGGGAAGGCUUCCUGAAGGAACAGGAUGAGGAGCAUGAAGGUUGGUCUUCAGGACUCAUAACCGCACUGGCGAAGGCACCAAGGUGUGAAAUAGUUCUGGAAACGACCACCCAGGUUCGCUAUGACUGGAACUUAGGUGUGUGGGAGAGAAGUGGUGGGAGAUGAGGCUAGAAAGGGGUCAGACAGCAAGACAGAUGUGGCAGGUGGUAUUGCUAGGGCUUUCUCCUGGUUACCAUCAUGGGUAACCAGGUAACCCAUGGAACUUUAGGAACAUUAAAGGAACAUUAGGCAGGGGAGUGACAUGCAUUGAUUUAUGUCUUAGACCUCCACAGUGCAGAGUGGACUGAGAGGUGAGUCGUAGGGAGACAACCCACUAGGAGGUGAGUGCAGGCAUUUGUGUUAGUUUGGAAGGCAAGCAAUGAGUGCCCUUUGUUUCAGUUUUGACUGUCACUGAGGUUGAACAAUUUUCUCAUUAGCAGACCAUUUAUAUUUCCCUCUUUUGUGUAUUUCUGUUCCUUGUCUAAUUAUUGGGGUCUUAGUAUUUUUCUUAUCGAUUUGUAUGAACUUUUUAUACAUUAAAGAAGUUAAUCUUUUACAUACUUACUGAAAUAUAUUCCUCAUAUAUUUGUCUUUUUAAAUUUGAUUUGUAGAUAUGUGUUAUUUAUGAGAUAUACAGGGGUUAAAUUUCUGGGUUGUUGACUCUGAACAUCCUUUUCUUUAUUUCUGCCAUUGCUUUAGAGAUACUUUGCCUCUUCAGAGAUCUGAUAAAUAUACACUCAUAUUUUGCUUUUAUUUUAAAUUUGGAUUUACUUCUUAGAUCAGUUUUAGGUUCACAGCAAAACUGUUUUAUGGCUUGAAUUUUUAUAUAUAUAUAUAUAUAUAUUUGGUGUAAUUUAUUUUGACUUGUGCUGUAAGGUAAGGAGCUAAACUGAUUAGUUUUCCAGUAGCCCAAGUACCAUUUAUGUAUAAUGGAUUGGAAGCCUCCUCUGUCAAAUUUUAAAUGAGUGUUUAAGUACGGUCUGUUGUUGAGUUCUCUCUCCAGUGUCAUUGAGCCUAGUUUCUAAAGAAAUUUGAUUUGAACUUGUUGAAAAUUUGAAGUAUAAAACAUCUAAAUGGUGAGAUCCAGUUGGUAGUUGGACUUCUGAGAGAGGAAUUCAAGGGAAAGAUCCGGGUAAUAAAUAUAGGUGAAGGUGUCAUUUAAGAACGGACGGAGGUUUAAGCCUUGGAUCUCAGUCACUUUCCCUGGGGAGAACAAGAGGAGCCAGAAGAGCAGGCCACAGAGACUGCCCAGGAAGGAUACCAGUCCAGAGGCAAGCAGAGGAGGAGGGGCCUGUAGAGAGGCCUCCCUCAUCUGGAUGGUGAUGCUACCUCUGUGCCCAGCACUGUGCUAGGCCCCAGGGCUGGGGCAGACACAGCGCUCAGAGUUAAUAGUGAGAGAGACAGCACUGCACUCAAAAUCUUAAGAAAGGUGCACAGACGCAUACCAAAGAUGCAGAGAAGAUUCACAGAAGACUUCAUGGAGAAGGGGAUGCUUGUGUUAAAUCUUAAGAGAGGAUACAUAUUUUGUUAAGGAAUAGGUGAGAGGUCAGACCCCCCCCCCCCAACCCCCAGAAAAAAACAGGUGAACCCAGGUAUGGAAGUAUGAGACAGUGGUCUGAAAUUAGCAUUCCAGAGCCAGAGUGCAGAGCAGGCAUGGGAAAGCUGGGGCCGAAGAAGUAGGCAGGGGGCUGACAUAAAAGGGCUUGAAUGCCAGCCAAGAAGCUCAGCUUCCAUCCUGUGCAGUGGUGAACCAUCAAAGGGCCUGAAAAGUGUGGUCAGCUGCCUUUUGUCAGGAUCACUUACCAAGAGUAGACUGGAGCCAGAGAGGCUGAAGGCCAAGAGGAAAUAGGAGAUGGGCUGGAAAGGACCUUGGGCACUGUGGAUAUGAGGGAGCAGUCUAGGAUGAUUCCCAGAUUUCUGACUUAGGUGAUUUGGUAGAAGGCGCUGUGAGUUUGGGAGAAGCGGGGAUAAGGCAGUAAAUUCAGAUUGGGCCAUACUGCAUCCUUGUAUCUGGAGAGAGGUCCAUAAGGCCAUGGCUCCCAGUAUCUGGUGCUCAGGAAGAAGGUGUGGGAAACAGAGUAGGUGGAAUGGGAUGAAGUCUGCUGGGGUGCACGUGGAGGGAAACUCUGUGUGUGUGUGUGGUGGAAUGGAACAAUUCAUGGAGAACCCACUGGUCCAUGGGUUGGGUCUUUCUGCUCUUUGAUGACCCCAAAUGGGGAGCAGGCUAGAAGGUAGGAGAGACAAGAGGCCAGAGUCUCAGAACCCCCAGUAGGAGAGAACACCAGGGAGACAGGCCAUCCCGAGUAGGCACCAUGGCGCAGCAGAGAGGAAGGACACUUGUGGGAGGUCUGCAGAGGAGCCCUCAGGUGUUGGUGACCUUGAUGGAGAGGGGCUGUUUCUGGGAAUGAAGGAUUCUGUGGGGACAGUGGUGGAGGGGUCAGUGGGCAAAGCUAUGGUCAAGAGGUGGCCGCAGUGGGUAUGGGCACCCAUGUGCUUCCAAAAAGCAUGAUGGUAAAGGGGAGGGGCGAGGGGGGUUGCAGAGUCAAGGGAAGCCUUUGUUAAGACUCUGGGGUGUUUGUGGACUCUGAGGAAGGAGAAGUGGAAAGGCAGAGAUUUCGGGGUUCACAGAGGAGAGGGUAGGGACAGGCUCAGUAGGCUGGGAGAACGGGGUCUCCUUGAACCCAAGAGCAAAAUAGGGAAGGAGGUUCUGAUGAGUCCUGCCAAGGAUGGGCUGGUGCAUGUGAACAGGGCAGGAGGGCCUUCCCACCUAAGGGCUUUGGUUUCUAUUUGAAACAUCUCUGAGAAGGCUGGAGUGAGGGCAGGGAGCUGCAGUAGCAUCAGGGGCUUGGAAAGAAGUCUAGGGGAGUGAGAAGAGAGGGGGGCUGUGAGGAGAGGGGUGCCAGUGCAGACAGGAAGGGAGGCUGUGACUUCCUCGGACAGCACAUACCCAGAGGCGGCCAUGGUCUCAUCAUCCCUGGCUGGCAGAGGGCACAGAGAGCAGGUGCACCCACAUGAUGGGCAGGGCCAUGGGGGCCCUCACGAGAGGCCAUCAGUCAGGGAGGCUUCUUGGAGUCUAGCAAAGAAGCAGGGUGCAGAAGAAGCCAAGUGGGCAGUCAGGCCCUAGGGAUGAAGGUGAGACUGGAACAAGAGUGAGGGAAGGAAGAGGAGGAGGAGGCCGGGGUCAGAGUUUGGGAUCCAGAGUCUACCAUUUUAGCACUGGAGCUUCUGCAGUGAACCCUGAGCUCCAGAUAGAGCACUGACAAAGACCCGUUCGGUGACUCUGCAAAGCUCAGCCCCCUACUCCACCGCCAAGACUGGGAGCCCUGGGAAGCCAGGCCACAGAUACCUGGGCAUCUAGGGCCGACACCACCGAACAAUCUCUGGAGCCCUAUUGGCAGGAACCAUCUCCCAGGGUGCAGCGGGUUGAGGAGGUGGUGCCCCAGCUAGUAGAUGCUGUGGAAGAUUCUGGCUCACCAAGGCCAAGCUGUGUGGCUCCAGGCCAGGCUAGGAUGCUCGACUUGGUAACUUCUUAAUCUCCCUCACCUGCCCCGACUUAAUUCCACUUUUUCUCAAAUAAGCAGACAGACAAAGGCAGCACCUGACAUACACCUGGGCUCCGUCCAUACCUGGGACUGGGGUGGAAGUGCUGCCACCGGGCUGGUCACUGUGAAGAUCUCAAGAUGGCUCCUGCCCCCUGCUGCCUUUUCCUGCCUGAGUUGUCUAUAAAAGCCUCUAGAUAUGAGCCCCAAAGUCUUAUUCCUGUCUGGAGACCAAAGCCCCUAGGCGCCAGGACAUAGGCUUCCUCAAGGUCCUUCUGGAAAACAGGCGUGCUAACUUUGGAUUCCUGUGCUGGCAGACAGGAGGGUCAUGUCUCUCUCAGAUGGCUUUCCAAGUCUGCACACAGGCCUGCUGUCUCAGCUCAGGACUUCAGUAGUUACAAUAGAGUCCUGGCCUCUCACAGUCAAGGGACGUGUAUUGCUUUUAGCAGGUUUAGGGCAUUUUCCAAAUGAGUCUGCAUUUACUCUCAAGAUGCCAGCAUUAAGAAGGGAGGAGACGGGGGGCUAGUUGGCCCCUCUGUGCUGAGGCAACUGAAGCUGGAGCAGGUACCCCUGUUGUACUCCCUUGGGGCUUUAGAAGCAUCUUCCCAGGCCCUGGGGAGGGGCACUUUCCUACACUGGGGCAAAGACCAGAACCCAGAAGGCUGCCGCUCGGCCCCCACAGACAGUAAAUAUCCCCAACAGACUGCUCCUGGACUUCUGUAUGAGUCCCAGGUAGACCACCUGGGUGAUGGCUUAGAGGCUGUCUUCUCCCCACCAAGAAAAACUGUGGGGAGCAGGGAGGUGGCCUCAAAACUCACCCGGCCCCAUAGUUGGAAGUCCUUUAGGCCAGGCCCUGCCCCUUCACUAGGUAGCUCUUGGGGCCACCUGCCAGCCCUGCACUUGGACCUGGGCUGUUCGUUUACCUUGUGUAUAAGAAGGCAGUGGGAGAGGGAAGAACACUGCUGGCAGCCAAGGCUCAGGCAGAUAGGGAAAGAAGGAAGAUUGAAGGCGGCUGGAGCUGGGGGCUGUGGGGUGCCAUGUGACUGGUGGGGGCAGGUGCUGCCUGGCAACCAGCACUGCUCUACACUCCCCCAACCAGAGUUCAUUCUACUCAUCAUGAGACUGGCUCAUCUAGCACUGCAGGGCUUUGAAAUGGCUGGAGGCAUGCUUUACCGUUCUUUUCUAAAACCUUUUCUCCUUGAUUUUUUCAGUACGCUCCCCAGCCUCACACACUGGCAUCUUUGCUAGCUCUCCUUCAAUCUGAGAGAGGGACCCAGGUCUCUGGCGUCCCCAUGGCGUCCCCACUCCCCACUGUCUCCUGGUGUCCACGGCGGGGAUCUAUGGGCAGAGCUCCUCUCACCUGAAUUGACCAUGGGGUCUGAACUGGGCACCUGGUUUGACUCCCAGACUCCCAUGAAAUUGGUGGGAGCUGGUCUCUGUCUUACCACAGGCUCGUUCCCGGAACAACAGCCCUCGGGGGCUGCUUCUCUCUGGGGCAGAAGCCAGGCGGGGUCUCCACACCUGGAAUGAGUUCCACCUGUCUUCCUGGAAGAAUCCUGUUGAUAAGCAUCUUGCAGGGAGCGCAUAUUACGCAUCAUUUUGACCUUUCUGGUUCCCUUUUGAUGAUUUUCUGUGGGGGACAAGCAGGGAAUGUCAGCUUAUUCUUCCUGUUACUCAUUGGACAGGUUUCUGGGGGAGCCUGCUUGUGAAAACAAGAAUCUAUGAGUAUCACUUGCCUGCAGCCUGGGCGUUGGUGGGGGUAGAGAAAUGGGGCUAGGGUUUCAGAAGCCAAGCCCUCUUCUCCCUCCCCCACAGACCAGUUCCACAAUUCCUGUACUUUCUGUCCUUUGGCUCCCUCUGGCACAAGAUCAGGGAAGCUUCUCUGAAAACAACUACUGGCGGGUCCUCACACUCCUAAACAAGCCAACCCUUCCCGACAACUAGCCCUGAGCUUGCCACCCCGCCCCACCGGAAUCCAGCUCUGUGCUCCCCAAGCUCCCCGGUUCCUCUCCAGUAGGGCCAACCUCCUCCCUGCCUCUGAAAUUCGUUCUCUGAGCUCCUGUCCACAGAAAUAGACACUUCUCCCUCCUCACCUGCAGGAAUCAGACAGACCCUCCAGAGAUAAGACCAGGGAUCACAAGCGCAUCUCGAACCUCCAGCCUAAAGGGCCUUCACGUGUGCGUAUACGUACGCAUACACGCAUGCGCACACCACACUUACAUGCGUAGGCAUAUUUUUCACUUACACACAAAAGCCAGGUUUGCAAACAUUUUUGUGGCCGAGACACUGAGGCCACCAGGGUACCUUGGCCUCACUGCCUGCCCCAGAUCUCUGGCAUCUGGGCCACAGGGCGUUGUGGUGAGCGACACCUGCCGUUGCUUCUUCCCGCCUUCAGCUGCUCUGAGGGCUAUUUAUAUGCUCUUGAGAAAGUGGGGGAGGCUGAUUGCUUAGCUAACACUAAGCUGAGGCCCUGGAUUUGGAGUCCGUGGGUCCCAAGGCCACCUUCUGCAAGUCCCCAAAGUUGGGGUCCAGAAUGCUUUGUCCUCCUGCUCCCAGGGGCCUUCGCUGGCUCUCUUCCAGGGCACCCCCCAGCCCUCCUGUACCCAGCAUGCCAAGUCCCCACUCUGGCCCAGCCUCUCCAUAGGCGCUCAGCCCCGGCCAUCACUAACUUUCUGUCCUCCCCUUGUAGUCCUCCCCCUUGAGCCCCAGUAUGACCCGUCCUCCCUGCUCCCACGUCCCAUCAGCACCCCGUCAGGCACGUGACACCACAGUGGGUUCCCGUUGUAGAAGGGCCCUUCCCUGGUCUUCCCUCAAACUCUGGCCAGCAAAUUGCCACCAGACUCAAUGGCUGGCACACUGUGAGGCCAGAGGGCUAACCCCAGGCCCGCUGCUGCCUUGUAGGCCAGCGUGCAGUACAACAUCCCCGUGUCGUCUGCCUCCCUUCCGGCCAUCAAGAGCCUGGGUCUCAGGGGCAUCACCUGCAUCAGCCUGAC